rnacentral:rRNA from 1 species
AACGAACGCUGGCGGCAGGCUUAACACAUGCAAGUCGAACGGGUGUAGCAAUACAUCAGUGGCAGACGGGUGAGUAACACGUGGGAACCUUCCUAGGGGUACGGAACAACUCAGGGAAACUUGAGCUAAUACCGUAUACGUCCGUAAGGAGAAAGAUUCAUCGCCCCUAGACGGGCCCGCGUCGGAUUAGGUAGUUGGUGGGGUAACGGCCUACCAAGCCUACGAUCCGUAGCUGAUCUGAGAGGAUGAUCAGCCACACUGGGACUGAGACACGGCCCAGACUCCUACGGGAGGCAGCAGUGGGGAAUCUUGGACAAUGGGCGCAAGCCUGAUCCAGCCAUGCCGCGUGAGUGAAGAAGGCCUUAGGGUUGUAAA